AUGCCGGCCAUGGUGGAGAAGGGCCCCGAGGUGUCGGGCAAGCGCCGCGGGAGGAACAACGCGGCCGGCGCCGCCGCCGCCGCCGCCUCCGCCUCGGCCGCCCCCGCCGCGGCCGCCGCCUCCGCCGCCGCCGCCCCCGCCGCCCCGGGCCCCGCCGCCUCGGCCGCCGCCGCCGCCGCCGCCGCCCCCGGCCAUGGGCACGGCAAAAGUUUGGCGGCCGCGGCCAACGGCGGCGGCGGCGCGUGGGAGGAGGGCAGCUCGGGCUCGUCGAGCGACGAGGAGCACGGUGGCGGCGGCAUGCGCGUCGGACCCCAGUACCAGGCGGCCGUGCCCGACUUCGACCCCGCAAAACUAACAAGACGUAGUCAAGAAAGAGACAAUCUUGGCAUGCUGGUGUGGUCUCCCAAUCAGAAUCUGUCUGAAGCAAAAUUGGAUGAAUACAUCGCCAUUGCAAAGGAGAAGCACGGAUACAACAUGGAACAGGCUCUCGGGAUGCUCUUUUGGCAUAAGCAUAAUAUCGAGAAAUCAUUGGCUGAUUUGCCCAACUUCACCCCCUUCCCAGAUGAAUGGACUGUGGAAGAUAAAGUCUUGUUUGAACAAGCCUUCAGUUUUCAUGGGAAAACUUUCCAUAGAAUUCAACAGAUGCUCCCUGAUAAAUCAAUAGCAAGUCUGGUGAAGUUUUACUACUCUUGGAAGAAGACGAGAACUAAAACCAGUGUGAUGGACCGCCAUGCUCGGAAACAGAAGCGGGAACGGGAGGAAAGUGAGGAUGAACUGGAAGAAACAAAUGGAAAUAACCCCAUUGACAUUGAGAUUGACCAAAACAAGGAAAGCAAAAAGGAGGUGCCCCCUUCAGAGACAGUUCCUCAGAUCAAGAAAGAGAAACAUAGCACACAAGCUAAGAACAGAGCCAAACGGAAACCUCCAAAAGGCAUGUUUCUUUCGCAAGAAGACGUGGAAGCAGUUUCUGCCAAUGCCACUGCUGCUGCCACCGUGCUCAGACAGCUGGACAUGGAGCUGGUGUCUAUUAAGCGGCAGAUUCAGAAUAUUAAACAGACAAAUAGUGCUCUCAAAGAAAAGCUUGACGGUGGGAUAGAACCCUUUCGGCUUCCAGAGGUCAUUCAGAAAUGCAACGCACGCUGGACCACGGAGGAGCAGCUGCUCGCUGUCCAAGCCAUCAGGAAGUAUGGCCGAGAUUUUCAGGCCAUUUCAGAUGUGAUUGGGAACAAGUCAGUGGUACAAGUUAAAAACUUUUUUGUAAAUUAUCGGCGUCGCUUCAACAUAGAUGAAGUGUUACAGGAGUGGGAGGCAGAACACGGGAAAGAAGAGACCAAUGGGCCUAGUAACCAGAACUCUGCCAAGUCCCCAGAUCGUUCCCUCAAGAUACCUGAAGAGGAAGAUGAGGCUGCUUCUGUUCUUGACGUCAGAUACGCGUCUGCCUCCUGAGGACUGUAGCUUUGAGCAUUUGAUGUGGAUGCCUGUGUUCCCUGGUAUCAGGUAUUCCCAGACGCCACCUCACCAUCUGCAUCCCAGCUCUGUGGACAAGCAGCUAUUACCAAAAACAGCCACACUUCGUCCUGUGCUCUACAUCUGCCUUAAUCUCUGUUCGUCCCUGCUUGCCGGCGCCACCUCCCAGGGAGCUCCAUUGCCUCUUCCUCUCUGCUCUUUGCGGGGCAAUUUUCUGUGAUUCUAGGACCAUCUCCGGGUGGAGCUCCCAAGCUACCGCGUUGGCAGCAUUUCCCCAUCAGCAGCUUUGAAACAGGCAGCUUAUUCACAGCAACUCUCGUGGACCCUGCAGCUCAGAGGGACCGUGGGCCUCACCCCUUUCUGCCUUCAGCUCAGCCUCAUGAUCCCUGGAUGGUGCCAGCCCGUCUGCUCCCGCCCCUCACCUCCUCCCAGCUCCAGGAGAUCUGCUCCCAUUCUGCACCUGGUGCUCGGACAUUUGGAAUCGGUGCCUUUUCCUAUAGGCAGCCAUGUUUGCGAUCCUUGGUCUGUUUUUGUGUCUUACUUCUUCCUUUAAGCUAUUGCUUGCCAAAGAUGACAACACCGAGGUUAGGGGCAGAGGGGACACCUGUGGAUUGUGGCAAAGGACAGGCAGGUCUUCUGUGGAGGGGAUCAGACUGGCUGUGGGGGUGGUUUUCUCGAAGCUGCACACUUUGCCCCUUGCUUUUCUGAAGGCCUCUCCACACUCCCUGCAUGUCCUCCUCACCCCUCAGCCAUGCCAGCCUCUGCUCCGUGUAAUGUUCCUGUUCAGGGCUGGACAGGAAGUGAUUGUUGUCGUGGUUCAGAAAGGCCAGAUGAAAAGGAACAGUUGAAAAAGGGUUUGUUAUGUCUUUGGGUUACACUGGGAACAAGCAGAAGUUUCGAGUGCUCUGAGGAAACAGCAGGGUCACUUUCAUUCUGUGGUGGAUCCCACCUGCUGCUGGGUGGAGGAGCUCAGCGGCCUUGUGCACUCACCACCUGACAUGCUCACGUGGUUUUUGUGUUUCUUGCCUGACUUUGAGAUUUGUCCUGCUUUCAAUACCAAAAAGAAAUUAAAUAAAAAUGUAGAUACUUUAAGGUACAAACAGAAUUCUUAAGGAUUUAAAAUAUGCAAUUAAAAUGUUGGUGUGUUUUAACCCCCAAGCACCUUGCUUGCUCUUUUCUUUUUUUUAAAUAAAGACUGGUUUUAGGAAGGGGGACUAGGAACCUAGGUUGUUUGGAGUUGUGCUUUUUCUUUUUUUAUU